rnacentral:rRNA from 1 species
AUUGAACGCUGGCGGCAUGCCUUACACAUGCAAGUCGAACGGUAACAGGUCUUCGGAUGCUGACGAGUGGCGAACGGGUGAGUAAUACAUCGGAACGUGCCUAGUAGUGGGGGAUAACUACUCGAAAGAGUGGCUAAUACCGCAUGAGAUCUACGGAUGAAAGCAGGGGAUCGCAAGACCUUGUGCUACUAGAGCGGCCGAUGGCAGAUUAGGUAGUUGGUGAGAUAAAAGCUUACCAAGCCGACGAUCUGUAGCUGGUCUGAGAGGACGAUCAGCCAGACUGGGACUGAGACACGGCCCAGAAUCGUACGGGAGGCAGCAGUGGGGAAUUUUGGACAAUGGGCGAAAGCCUGAUCCAGCAAUGCCGCGUGCAGGAUGAAGGCCUUCGGGUUGUAAACUGCUCUUGUACGGAACGAAAAGCCCUGGGUUAAUACCCUGGGGUCAUGACGGUACCGUAAGAAUAAGCACCGGCUAACUACGUGCCAGCCGCCGCCGUAA